ACAAAAUCCUAGCCGCCUCCCUCCUCAUCCUCUUCUUCUCUCGAGCAGCCACCCAAUUCUGCCUCCUCUUCAAACGAGCUUCAAAAACAAAAAAAGAGAGUUGAAGAACCAUGUAUUUUGAAAAUAUAUCAAUCUCUUCCAAUUUGCUGGACGAAUCCGGUUGCUUUUUAAAGUCGAAUCGAAUUCUUAAGGGGUUGUUUGUUGCUAGGACUGUGGCUGAGCCCCAUUCAUUGCUUUUCCUAUCUUUAUUUGGGUUCAAUCGAGUUUUUGCUUUUAGAUUUAGGUAUAUAUCUGUAAAACUAUACUUCUGUUAUUGAAAUAAUUGAAAUUUGCUCAUGUCAUUUUUGGCUUCUGCUGUGCUUCUUGAUCGGUGCAGACUCAAUCCUAAGAAAGAGUGGACGUGACU
rnacentral:lncRNA from 1 species